rnacentral:lncRNA from 1 species
AGCGUGAACGUAUAUAUGUUUAUGAUAGUUGAACUACAUGGAGCUGUUUUGCAUCAGUCUAAAUGGGAGCAAUAUUAAUUUGACGGAGGAUAUAUGUAAUUUUGAAAGAGGUCUUCAAGAAUUUUUUCAUGCAAGGAAUUUAUUUCUGACACUUAAAUCAAAACCGUAAUUAAAGAAGAGAGGAGAAAGAAGAGUACGUAGAAAUUGGAGUAUAUGUGUAUCUUGUGUCUUUUAUACCAGUGGUCAAUCAUAUCAUUGCAUGGUCUUUAAUCACUUUUAUAGGUGAUGUCUCUUUCUCGUGUGUACAUGGACCAUAAACCUGCAUCAGUCCUAGCUUGAGAUCCUCAAAUAUAGUUUUUGAGAGAUAUUUUCUUGAAUUGUAUCCAAGACAUUGCAAGUGUAUCACAUUUUUCAUGUUGUGCUGGAUCUU